CCUACGGGUGGCAGCAGUGGGGAAUAUUGCACAAUGGGGGCAACCCUGAUGCAGCGACGCCGCGUGAACGAUGAAGUAUUUCGGUAUGUAAAGCUCUAUCAGCAGGGAAGAAAAUAGCGGUACCUGUCUCAGUAGCCCCGGCUAACUACGUGCCAGCAGCCGCGGUAAUACGUAGGGGGCAAGCGUUAUCCGGUUUUACUGGGUGUAAAGGGAGCGUAGACGGCUUGGCAAGCCAGAUGUGAAAGGCUGGGGCUCAACCCCAGGACUGCAUUUGGAACUGUCAUGCUAGAGUGUCGGAGAGGCAGGUGGAAUUCCUAGUGUAGCGGUGAAAUGCUUAGAUAUCACGAAGAAUUCCGAUUGCGAAGGCAGCUUACUAAACGGCCACUGACAUUGAGGCGCGAAAGUGUGGGUAUCAAACAGGAUUAGAUACCCCAGUAGUC
rnacentral:rRNA from 1 species